GAAUAACAUUUUUUCCUCAUAUUCGCUAAAUAUAUAUUUAAUAUAUCAAUUAAAAUAAUUUCUUAUAGAUACACAUGUUCCCCCAUUUAUCUUCUCCAUAUCUUAACGUUCAUUGAAUAAAUCAAUUGAAUAUAUAUAUAGAUCACAUCAAAUGAAAAUCAUUUUUUGGACGAUUCUAUCCUUAAUAUAUGCAUUUCAAUACCCUCUGUGUGUGUGUGUG
rnacentral:lncRNA from 1 species